rnacentral:rRNA from 1 species
CUAAGGUGACUGCCGGUGACAAACCGGAGGAAGGUGGGGAUGACGUCAAAUCAUCAUGCCCCUUAUGACCUGGGCUACACACGUGCUACAAUGGACAGAACAAAGGGCUGCGAGACCGCAAGGUUUAGCCAAUCCCAUAAAUCUGUUCUCAGUUCGGAUCGCAGUCUGCAACUCGACUGCGUGAAGCUGGAAUCGCUAGUAAUCGCGGAUCAGCAUGCCGCGGUGAAUACGUUCCCGGGCCUUGUACACACCGCCCGUCACACCACGAGAGUUUGCAACACCCGA